rnacentral:lncRNA from 1 species
GGGAUUUUCCAGGGAGAGCCUAGAAUCCAUUGCUGACUCUUGCUGAUUGUUUUUACCUCAAGCCAGAUGACUAGGCAGCUCUUGAUUGACUGACCUUAGACUAUGGGAUUUUUUGUUUUGUUUUGUUUUUUUGUUUUUGUUUUUUUUUCUGGAACUGGUUUAUUCUGUUCUGGGAAACAGAAUCUUAGACCUAGUCUUGAAUUGGCAUUUUGCAGCCUGCCGUGGAGUCAGUCUAACUCCAGCCUCUCAAAGUUAAUAUCGGUUCAAAUUCCAAGAAAUAAAAACUUAAGUUUUAUAACCAACAGAAAAACUGUCUUUUACAUUAUAAAAAGCUUCUGUAAGACUCUGACAAGCUUUAACUUACCAGAGCCCCCCCUGAGCGAACAAUGUGGAGUGGACGAUUGAUGCCAAAGCAAGAGGAAUUUUGUUGUUCCAGCAUGCUGAGAGUCUCCCUGCACACUAAGGGGAGAUAAUGACCGUGGGCAGCUUGUUCACUGAGUUUUAUACAGUUUUCAGAGCAGCAUCCAUUAGGCACAAUGUGAUUGAUAGAACAGUGUGACUUUUAAACUGAUUGGACUUUAGGGAAUGAGGUGGCCAACAAUUGUCUUUCGGUGGCCAACAGUCUGUCCACCCUGCAGAAUGUGUCUACAUGCUCUGGGUAUCCCCCACCCACAGGUGGCUGGUGGUCACCCCACCCACCCUGUGGUCUGAGGAAUGUAAUUAGCCUUUCUUUUCCAGAGGGGGUGGGGGGUGCCUGAGUGCUCUAUGACCUUUCUCUUCCAGGAGAGGAGGGGUCUGGUGAGAUUUUCCAAAGGUCCUGAACUGGCCUUUCACUUCUGAUCUUAAAAUGGAAUCAGGCUUGCUCAUUUGUGUGUUAGCCAUCAGUUCACAUGAUAGUGUGGGACACAAUUCUGUUCUUGAACUAGCUUUCAUGGUGGAGUAAGAAAGUACCCUGAAGCAGCAUUCCCUUCAGGUGGAUAAUUUUUUCCAAAGAUUAUUGGAAACUGUGAUGGCUACUCUUGGUGGUCAAUUUGACUACAUCUGGUGAUAACUAAAUAGCAAAAAAUGGAGGGCAC